rnacentral:rRNA from 1 species
AUGAAGCUGGAAUCGCUAGUAAUCGCGGAUCAGAAUGCCGCGGUGAAUACGUUCCCGGGUCUUGUACACACCGCCCGUCACACCAUGGGAGUUGGAAAUGCCCGAAGCCAGUGACCCAACCGUAAGGAGGGAGCUGUCGAAGGUGGAGCCGAUGACUGGGGUGAAGUCGUAACAAGGUAGC